GGUGCUUCCGUUUUUCUCUCUCUCUGCCGGAUCGUCUCCGAGGCAGCGGUGUGCUAGCCUCCUGCUGCAGACUAUGCUGAUUUUUGUCUGAGAGAGCCAGAUAUUCCAAGUCUAAGUCACUUUUAUCGUCAGAGCAGAGAGCGGAGCCUUUCCAUUUUUGCCAUGGGUGGAUGAGCGGACCGUGUGUUUUGCAACAGAAGCGGAGGAGAACCGGAAUCCUGGACUGAUGAGAGCCGUGUAUUGUGCCCUGUGCCCGGAGUGUGUGUGUGUGUGUGUGUGUAUGUGAACCGUGAGCCUCUGGCCGGGUCUUUUUCUUUUCCUUUCCCUUGUAUGGAUUCCUGUGUUGAUCUGCGAGACAUCUUCUUCUACUGGGGAUUCUUCCUGUGUCUGUAAAGGUAGAACGGGACCUCAGUGGUCGUGGCGAGCCAACCCAAAAGACAGAGACUGGGAUUUAUUCAGAGACUGAUUUAUUUAAAAAAAAAAAAGACUGAUUUAUUGAGAACUGUGGUUGAUGUCUCAUGUCUGAAGAGCUGAAAAGUUAAAAUUGUUUUUUUUUAUUUUUCUACAACUUCAUUUUCAUUCAAUACAACACACUUAAAAAAAAAACAACUUACCUUUGAUGUGUGUGAGGUUCUUUACUCAGUCACUCAAUGCAUUUUGCUAAAGCACCCUUUCUCCUGUAGCGACCUAAACUUCUGACUACUGGUCCACAAGGUAAUUGAUGCACUGAUGAAAUAAAUAUCUGUAUCUCCCA